GGUUGCCUGGUGUAAUGGUUAGCACUCUUGGCUCUGAAUCCAGUGAUCCAAGUUCAAAUAUCAGUUGGACCU